rnacentral:tRNA from 1 species
GUUCGAUUAGCCAGGGGUUCGAUUCCCCUUUCACGCAGCGUGAAUGGGGUAGUGGUAACCUUAAUCGUUGCCAGC